rfam:Danio rerio chromosome 20, GRCz11 reference primary assembly.
UGGGGUAUAGCUUAGUGGUAGAGCAUUUGACUGCAGAUCAAGCGGUCCCCGGUUCAAAUCAGGGUGCCCCCU